GCUGCUGCAACCCGCUGCCCUCUGGUGUCCUGCUGUGGGAGCUUUGUUCUUUCACUCUCGUAAUAAGUCUUGCUGCUGCUCACUCUUUGGGUCCGCACUGUCUCUGUGAGCUGUAACACUCACCGCGAGGUUCUGUGCCUUCGUUCUUUAAGUCAGGGAGACCACGAACCCACCGGGAGGAACAAACAACUGUGAUGCGCCAUCUUUAAGAGCUGUAACAUUCACCGCCGGGGUCUGCGGCUUCAUUCCUGGAGUGAGUGAGACCACGAACCCACCAGAAGGAAGAAACUCUGGACCCAUCUGAACAGCUGAAGGAACAAACUCCGGACACACCAUCUUUAAGAACUGUAACACUCACCGGGAGUCUCCGUGGCUUCAUUCUUGAAGACAGCGAGACCAAGAACCCACCAGAAGGAAUGAAUUCCGCACACAUUGUUGUAUUAUAGGUAAGGGCUAGAGUAUUGGCAUUGGAGAGACGGACUAAAUUCUCAGCUCCAACCCUUACCAGCUUGGGCAACAGCACAAAGUUAAACCAGGAAGUCCCUCUGCCUUGCUAGGGAUCCAGGUUUGCCUUCCUGUUGAGGUAUCCCAUUUCAUUACAGUUGACCUAAGUUUGAACAAACACUGCCACCUGAUGCAUGAAAGCUCUACUGUGACCUACGUUAAAAGGAGCUGACACUCCCUCAGGCUACCUUAGUCAGUGGGGGCUUACUGCAGCAUACCUGUGGCGAUGAGAGAGAGAGGCACAUCACAGGAGCAUCUGGCACCAGUGGCAUCCUGAGCCCAGAGGAUGUCACGGUGAACUCACACUGAUAAAGACAUAUCUGGAAGGCUGUCUUCCACUCCCUGGAUGAAGAUGAGGUUAAAGCUAUUCCAGACAUCUUAUUUCAUGAAGAAUGGUAUGACAGAGAAGGCCCUAAAGCCUGGUGCUCAGAGAAACUGGUAAUGGCCCCAAAGGAUGACUACACUGUGGCCAGUGAUGCAUGGCAGAGAUUUGACUGUUGGAGGCCAAAAGAUUGAGGGUCGUGAUUAACUUAGUAUACCACUGGAGGCUAUAUGAGUAAACAGCAAACUGUUCUCAUAAAUGCGGAAUGUUGGCAAACUGACAAACUGUGUAUGCCACCCAGAAGUAGUGCUGAGGGCAGUCACACCCCAAGUGCAACGUUUCUUGUGAUUAGGUACAUCUGAAGCCUCUUGGUAAUAAUAUGAACCUGUGAUCAAUUAAGCAGCCGACCAAUUGUUACUGCCGCCUCCUUGCUCUUGUUACCCAAUAAAUACAAAGGGCUGUAGAAGCUCCGGGAGGAGGGGGCUGCCCUUGCUCACUAGAAGCAGGGAGCUCUCUUCUUCUUCCCCUGGCCCUUUCUUUAAAACAGAUUUCUUUUGUCUUAAGUUUUCAUUUCUGCGUUUGUCCCUUUGUUCAGUCUUG
rnacentral:lncRNA from 1 species